CCUACGGGAGGCAGCAGUGAGGAAUAUUGGUCAAUGGACGAGAGUCUGAACCAGCCAAGUAGCGUGAAGGAUGACUGCCCUAUGGGUUGUAAACUUCUUUUAUAUGGGAAUAAAACGUUCCACGUGUGGGAUUUUGUAUGUACCAUAUGAAUAAGGAUCGGCUAACUCCGUGCCAGCAGCCGCGGUAAUACGGAGGAUCCGAGCGUUAUCCGGAUUUAUUGGGUUUAAAGGGAGCGUAGGUGGAUUGUUAAGUCAGUUGUGAAAGUUUGCGGCUCAACCGUAAAAUUGCAGUUGAAACUGGCAGUCUUGAGUACAGUAGAGGUGGGCGGAAUUCGUGGUGUAGCGGUGAAAUUCUUAGAUAUCACGAAGAACUCCGAUUGCGAAGGCAGUUCACUGGACUGCAACUGACACUGAGGCUCGAAAGUGUGGGUAUCAAACAGGAUUAGAUACCCUAGUAGUC
rnacentral:rRNA from 1 species